UUUGUUAGCUAAGUCAAUUUUUUUCCAAAAGCAACUCAGAACAAUGUUCCUUGGGGAAGUCUGAGACCAGAGCCAACAGCAUCCCUAACUUGGUCCUAUCUGAGCCUCAAAGAGAUGAGGGCCUAGAAAACAGGGGUUCUGCAAGAAGGCAGAUGGGGCAGAAGAUGCUAUGGAACCCACCCUCAAAGAGAAAACUGGCAGAUGCCUCCUAGACUGAGCUUGGCACAAAAGCAACUCAGGCUUCCAUA
rnacentral:lncRNA from 1 species